CAUGUGAGACCCUAUGGAGUAAAAGACCCCAUAGCCCAUAGAACACAUUGACAUUUGAAAGAAUUACACACAUACAUGCCAAGAGUGGGAGAAAAGAGUCUCUCUCUUGGCAGGAUGGAAAAAAAACAAACUCCAGAAAUCCAGCAAACCUGCUGGGGGACUCACUAGGUUAGGAAAUUCACCUAAACAGAGAAUUCUCCCUAACAUCUCCCACCCAGCUGCCUGGGCGUUGCCUGCUUGGCACACAGCAGGGGUAAUUUUGGCAGGGUGCCUGGGGCCUUCCUGCCUGGGACCAUUGGUGUGCAUUGCACUACCAUAUGCUGCUCUCCGGGCCCAGCCAUCCUGUAGUUGGCAAUAUGAAUGGAUGGAAGAACCAGAUGGCUGGCCUAUUCUGGAAUUCCAGAUUGGCACAAAUUCAUUUAUUUACUCCAUUGGGUCUAUAAAGAGACCUCCCCCUUCGGCACCCAGGGUAUACAGACAACAAGAAAGCUUAGUCACCUUCUCCAGAGUACUGUAGACAGUGUGUGUGUGGAUCCUGUCUGUGCCCCAAUUACUUCUCACUGCCCAACCCAUGCCCUGUGGUGAAAGCACAGCUCUCCACUAAGCUGGUCAUGGGCCAUGACCGACACAAUGUCCUGCACUGCUGGGGGUUCCCUGCCAGCACACAGCUAACGGCGGUUUGGUAAACAAAGUCCAACUUUCUUCCCUGUCCAUGUGCCUCCCUGCACUCUACGGGAUCUAUUUGGUGCUCUUUGACUGUCUAGGAUUGGUCUGGGUGGCCAGAUUCAGCUUCUGUCUUAAGCAAUUGGUUUCUAAAUGCCUUGGGCCGUGUCAAGGGUAUGCCCUCUCUGGCAGAGCCCCCUUAUGCGAGUGGCUACCUCUUCUAAGGACAUCAAAGGCCGAGCAGCCUGGCAAUUCACUAGUAGUCAGAUCAGAGUAGACGUGGUUAGCUGGUGUAAGCCAUGCUGUUGCCCAUUCUCCACCAAGCAUGUUUCUAACAGCAUUUCAGAAUGACCGUUCCGUGGUGUGUCAACUCACCCUGUCACCACCCAGAGGUGGCAUGUGGAGAAACUCCUCUCACUUGAAGUUGUGCCUGGCCCAGCCUCUCCCCUUCCAACCCUCCCCAGGAGAAGGCUGGGCAGCUGGUUCCCAUGUGGUUGACCUGUCCACUUCCCCAAGAUUUUGGUGGGGCGGGGACACUCUGUUGAAUGAAGUAUGGACUCAAGGCAAACGUAAGGCUCCCCCUGUUGCCAACCUCCAGCAGGUGCGGCUACCUGGUUGAUCCUGCCAGUGCCAUAUGCUUGUUUCAAAGAUUGAGCCAUGCAUGUGUUAGUGCGCAUGACCAGUGCAGUGACGCUGCAUAUGGCUCAUUGAAUUAGUGAUAGUUCCUAUGAUGGCACCAGCAGUAACUUGGAUAAAUGUAGUAAAUCUACAGUGAAUACAUCCUCACAAAUGCUUACCUCCCGGAAUGUGUGCAUUCAUCAGACCAAGACCAAACCGGCCUUGCGCGCCCCUUAUGGUGACUGUAACUGAGCUUGGUCACAUGAUCUAUCAAUGUGAUAGCAACAAUACAUUCUAAUGUCUGCCCUAUCAAAUUCCGAUGGUCCUCCUGGCCUUGCAUGGUGAUCACAGGUAGUGGGAAUCAGGAAUCAAUCCCAGAAAGGAAGCCUAAAAAUCUGUUACCACAUCCAAGGAAGGCAGCAUACGUGGCAAAUUGCCCAACCCUAUUUCGGGGAGUUUGUAAUGAGAAUGAACGAUUCAUGUCUCUUUCGAGGCCCUGUAAGUGCAAUGUGCAAACUUCAAAUCCUUUAAUGAGGAUUCAUUGGAGGGCAAGUCUGGUGCCAGCAGCCACAGAAUUUCCAGCUACAAUAGCGUAUGUGAAAGUUGCUGCACUUAAAAUUCAAUGUAGUGCGAGUAAACAGCAGCGUAAUUAUGACUCUCUUAAUGUGUCCAAAAACGACAUCAUCUCAUUGGUGACACACAUGAAUGGAUGAAUGGGAUUCACACUGUCCAACCUACCAUCUGGUGAACCACAGCAAAGGAUAUAUGCUUGGCUGAAUCAGUAGGUAUAGAAGACCAUGUGGGCUUCACUCUAGUAUGGCACUGUGAGGAGACAUGGGAUGUGUAGGAUAGGUAGGGGGGUGAAAUAAAACUACGGUUAUCAUGUUUUACUUGCACAGAGAGGCGGGUGGGGAAAGCCUGGUGGGGCUGUCAGCUCCAGUCGGGCUGAACCUGGUCUGGGGACAUUGGCAGGUGGCUAGUUUGACUGGGGCAGUACACCUGUCUGACGAUAACACAAAGUGUCCUAAGGCAAGCUCAGGCAGGACAAACACAUCGGCUGAGACGAAGGGCAGAAGUAUGCUGGAGCUCAAUUUUAUGUAUCUAGACAGACAAUGUAAGCAGGGCCUCAUGAUCGUUCUGACUUUUUUGUGUUCCAGCAGUAGCAGUCAGACAGUGACCACAGGGAUAACUGUCUUGUGGGAGCAAAUAAUUCAUAGCAACUUCGCAUUUUUGAUCCUUCCAUUUUGGCUUGUCCUAUCAUUGUGAGGCAGAAUUCAGCAAACGUUAGAUUGUUCACCGACUAAUAUGGAACAUGAGCUAGGCUUAGACCAUCAUGUGACAGGUUAGUUUUACCCUACUGAUGAUGUGUUGUUUGCAAUAGUAAUUCUGCUCAGUAUGAGAGGAACCACAUUUUUAGACAUGUGGUAUAUGUGCUUGGCUGAGGAGCCAAUGGGGUGUCGGUGUCAUCUGUGGGAUUAUGACAGCACAGUGGAGCCUUGGUUGCCCCUGGACUGGUGCAUAGAUUGGCUCGCCUCAGGAAUUGAGUGUGGACAGAAGGAGCAAAACUCUCUCAUCUGUAGUGCACCACAUUUUUUCGGGGACUGUGGUGCAUAAUCCUUAGUGGAUGACCUGAAUCUGGAUCAGGGUUUCAUAAGUAGCAGGACAACUACCUUGCUACAAUCUAUUGGAAGUCAUCCUCUGAGACAGUUUUUUUAUCAA
rnacentral:rRNA from 1 species